rnacentral:ncRNA from 1 species
AUAUGAAGCGCCAGGACUGCGUCACCGCCCGUGCCGCAGUUGACGAGGUAAGGAUUUAUCGAAAGAUUCGGCGGAUGAUCCUUCGGCCAAGAGUGGGUUGGUCGUCAGUGGCUUCUCAAAAAGCGGGAGCGAUCCCGUAACAAGGAAGU